rnacentral:rRNA from 1 species
AGAGUUUGAUCCUGGCUCAGGAUGAACGCUAGCUACAGGCUUAACACAUGCAAGUCGAGGGGCAGCAUGGUCUUAGCUUGCUAAGGCCGAUGGCGACCGGCGCACGGGUGAGUAACACGUAUCCAACCUGCCGUCUACUCUUGGACAGCCUUCUGAAAGGAAGAUUAAUACAAGAUGGCAUCAUGAGUCCACAUGUUCACAUGAUUAAAGGUAUUCCGGUAGACGAUGGGGAUGCGUUCCAUUAGAUAGUAGGCGGGGUAACGGCCCACCUAGUCUUCGAUGGAUAGGGGUUCUGAGAGGAAGGUCCCCCACAUUGGAACUGAGACACGGUCCAAACUCCUACGGGAGGCAGCAGUGAGGAAUAUUGGUCAAUGGGCGAGAGCCUGAACCAGCCAAGUAGCGUGAAGGAUGACUGCCCUAUGGGUUGUAAACUUCUUUUAUAAAGGAAUAAAGUCGGGUAUGCAUACCCGUUUGCAUGUACUUUAUGAAUAAGGAUCGGCUAACUCCGUGCCAGCAGCCGCGGUAAUACGGAGGAUCCGAGCGUUAUCCGGAUUUAUUGGGUUUAAAGGGAGCGUAGAUGGAUGUUUAAGUCAGUUGUGAAAGUUUGCGGCUCAACCGUAAAAUUGCAGUUGAUACUGGAUAUCUUGAGUGCAGUUGAGGCAGGCGGAAUUCGUGGUGUAGCGGUGAAAUGCUUAGAUAUCACGAAGAACUCCGAUUGCGAAGGCAGCCUGCUAAGCUGCAACUGACAUUGAGGCUCGAAAGUGUGGGUAUCAAACAGGAUUAGAUACCCUGGUAGUCCACACGGUAAACGAUGAAUACUCGCUGUUUGCGAUAUACGGCAAGCGGCCAAGCGAAAGCGUUAAGUAUUCCACCUGGGGAGUACGCCGGCAACGGUGAAACUCAAAGGAAUUGACGGGGGCCCGCACAAGCGGAGGAACAUGUGGUUUAAUUCGAUGAUACGCGAGGA